rnacentral:misc_RNA from 1 species
CAGCGAGCUGCACUGCCCGCG